AUACAAGAACUUUGAUUGGCCAUGACCACUUACCAGUCAUCCACAGUAAACCUAAAAUAGGUCAAGCCUAGAAAACCCUGAACAGUCGUGCAAUGCUGCUGUAUUGUCUGAGAAUAAUAUCCUUCUUCUCAGAUUGCAUUUAUUUUCUCACUUACAUAUGGGAUAGGACUGGUAUUAUUAUUGUCAUGUGCUUUUCCUCUCGUGUUAAACCUGCUAACACCUUGCCUUUUCGAAUAAGAAAUUCAACUUCGUAUUGGCCAAUUCAUCUGUAUUUUUAGAACCCAAUGAUCCAUAUUUUUCUUGGUCUUUAAUCUUCCAACCUCCUAUUCUUCUAUGUCAGCUUCAUUUUACAGAGUAUAUUCUGAUAGAUGUAAACACUUGAAAUGAAACAGUCCAAUCGCACCGGCCAAGCAAAUAGGUUCUUUGGCAUCUACCUUGAACUGUACUUACUCAUCAAAUAUCACAUGUUUAUUUUAUUGUUUUAACCAUGUAGUCAGCACUUUAUAUCUGAAGGUUGUUGUAGAUAUUAUAGAGGUGAGAUUAUUUUUGUAGCUGCAGCCAUUAUUGCCUGAACAAACAGAUUUACAUAUAGCAAGUGGUUAACCGCACAGGACACAAUUACACAACCUUUUUUAUUAUAAUAAAUAAAGGUUAAUAAAUUAAUUUAGCAAUGUAUCCAAAAUGAAGAGGUUAUAGUGCAACUCUUAUCGUAAGUAAUGAUGUCUGUGCAAUAGAACACAAACAUAAUUUGGUUUCUGAAUGUG